CCUACGGGGUGCUGCAGUGAGGAAUAUUGGUCAAUGGACGAGAGUCUGAACCAGCCAAGUAGCGUGAAGGAUGACUGCCCUAUGGGUUGUAAACUUCUUUUAUAUGGGAAUAAAAUGUUCCACGUGUGGGCUUUUGUAUGUACCAUAUGAAUAAGGAUCGGCUAACUCCGUGCCAGCAGCCGCGGUAAUACGGAGGAUCCGAGCUUUAUCCGGAUUUAUUGGGUUUAAAGGGAGCGUAGGUGGAUUGUUAAGUCAGUUGUGAAAGUUUGCGGCUCAACCGUAAAAUUGCAGUUGAAACUGGCAGUCUUGAGUACAGUAGAGGUGGGCGGAAUUCGUGGUGUAGCGGUGAAAUGCUUAGAUAUCACGAAGAACUCCGAUUGCGAAGGCAGCUCACUGGACUGCAACUGACACUGAGGCUCGAAAGUGUGGGUAUCAAACAGGAUUAGAUACCCGAGUAGUC
rnacentral:rRNA from 1 species